GGAGAUCCCUCUUCUGUGGAGCCUUUUCUGCAAACCUAGCUCUUUGGAUAUGGCUCUAGAUCAUAUUGAAGGAUGCCUGUACCCACAUAAAUAAAGUUGAAAAGCCGUGUGUAAUGAGAAGCAGGAUAUUAUCCCGUUCGUCACUGUUAGGGAGCUGCAUGCCUUCUAACGUUCAAGCUGGAUCAUAUAGCUCUGUAGUUACACAAUAGGAAUCUGCUUUAGCAGGGGCUGCUAUCCUGCCUGCACCAGCCAGCCAGGGCUGCCACCUCUAGCUGAGGCCACAGAUGCAGUUUAGGUUCCUGUGUGUUGUAUGAAUGAGAUAAUCUUGAUCUGUCCAUCGUGCUUUGGACAUCAGUUACUGCUAUGUCUGGAAGAUAAGACAUCUGUACAUAGACAAGUCUUCUUCAAACAGCAUGAAUGCCUGCAGUGUGCUGUAUAAACUCUGGGAUGAAGUCCUUCCUUCAAGAGAAUUCUUUGCAGGAAGUUCAGAAGUGUUUGAACAGCGUUUGAAAGCUUGCUGAGAGCUUACCUCGAGGAAAGAAACUCUGGCAACUAAACUCCUGGAAAAAGCUGUCUUAGGGCCUUUGGAGGUUUACUGUCCUGACGGACUAUGCGUUGUCUUGGGGCUAUAGCUUUGAAUUUAGUUGUCCCUAAAUUUCUUACAAUUUUUAACACAGCUGACCUUUAGACAAGGAAAUACUGGUUUCAAUUCACAUCCCACCCCUUCAUAGUUUUUUUCCCUGCAAGGCGACCCUAAUCCAUAUUUUAGGUCCUUUUUUUAUAUCUGUUGCAGGCAUUGCUUUGUGGUGAAACACUGAGUUCUGCAAGGCCCGUGUAUUAGUGUACCCAAAGGAACAUCCAUGCCCAAUACAUGAGGAAAACCAACUUUUGCUAAUUGCUUUGCUCUGCUUAUAAUACUCAAAAGCUAUCUGCCAUGCCCGAGAAAAAUUAUUUUUCUUGGAAAUAUUAGCACUGUUUCCAAGAUAUUUCACUCUCUUUUUCAGAAGCCAGCAGGACAAAUCAUACUGUCUUGUAAAAUAUGCUUACUAGAAAGCUAAUUCCAGUGCUCGUAUAAUUUAAUUAUUUUUUGAGCAACAUAGCAGUGUCUGUAAUAGAUUCUCCAUCUUCAGUCCCUCUUGUAAAGAUGGAGUAGAUUCUUCAGAGGUAGCUAACUUAAUUGGGAACAGUACCAACUUACUGACACUAUGAAUGCACAUAAUUCAUCAUUCAUUGUCCUGGAAAGUCAUUCUUCUACAACUCAUAGAUAUUUUUCUGUUUUUAAGACAUCAUAUCACUUCUAUAUAAGGCAAAAUCAGGUUUUGACACACUUCUCAAAAUUGUGACAUGUCUUUGGGAGACUGUUUUCUAACUGCAUGUUUCUGUUCUUACUAAGUUUCCCUAGAAAUUUUAGGUUUAUCAUCUGCUUUUUUUCAGAAACUCAAGGGAAUCCAUAGCCAUAGGAAUAUAUUAAUGAAUUGGGACUGCUUUCUCAUGGGAAUUUACUCAUUUGGUUAGUUUCUGAGGGAAAAAAAAAAAAAAAAAGAACACACUUGUUUUUAGGA